rnacentral:tRNA from 1 species
UACAAUGUAGUGUUAAAAGCACAUAGGUCUUUGACCCCUAAAGUAGGCCACCCCCUCAUUGUAU